AGUCAAGUGUGGCUCAAGAAAAUAGGUCACACAGCAGGAGGAGGUCUCUUCAUCAUCCCAUCUUCCAUUUCAACAGCCAUAGCUUUGAUCUGUAGCCAUCUUUGGCAGAAAACCCAACCCUGCCUAAUAGCUAAAAUGGGACUUAGGCUAAAAAUUGAUUAUAUAAUAUAUACAUAUAUAUAUAUAUAUGUAUAUAUACAAGAUGUAUAGAGUUGUAAGCUGCAAUCCAUAACUGAGAUAUAGGGAUGUAUUUCUGCUGCUGCAUUGUAGUCAAAAUACAUUGGUAUAUGCCUGGUUAUACGUCCAUGUAAUUAAGUUUAGAGGUUAAAUAAUCGAGUUAGGUUUUAUUCAAAAGAAACUUAAAAAGUAAAUAUUAAAUUAAUAUAUGAAGUUUGAUAUUUAUUAUAAUUUGAUACUUCUUGUAUUUUUCGUUUAAUUUGGUCUCUAAUAUUUUUUUAAUUCCAAAAUAUAUAUGGUUGAACUUCGUUUUAUGUUUCAAGUCUCGAUGGCUCGGCUCGGCCCGGCCCGGCCCG
rnacentral:lncRNA from 1 species